CAGACAUCAUGUUUCUCAUUAACCGAUGUGAGGUCAACUUAGAACACUGUGUCCAAUAUGCCAACAAGAUAAACAAGCUAUUUCAAGUCCUACAGUUAAACAAACUCAACAUAUUUCUAUAAGCAAGCAUCCACAUAUUUCUAUAAGCAAGUAUCCAUACAAUGCUGCUAACCCAAAAAUAAAAAGUCAUAAAUAAAGCUUGCAAUUAUAAUGACAUGGCCAUUAAGAUAUUCUCAUCUUUGGCAGCCAGUAACAUCAAUGCUAUUAUUCUAAACCAUCAUAAAAUAGUUUCGUAUAUGCAUGAUAAUAUUUCAGGUUUUGCAAAUCAUUGAAUAAAUACAAAAUCGGUAAAAUUCACCAAUUUUCUCUCCGAACUUCUGAUAAAUACAUGUUUCAUGAUAUAUAAUUUAAUGAGUUAAAAAUGACCUUGUUCAACCAAGAAUCACAUCAACUAGAAACGAACAAAUAAUAAUCCACUUGUUUACUCCAAUUUCUCUUCCAUCAAUUGUAUCUUUGGUUUUUGUUUAUUUCAGAAUUUUGUGAUACACUGAUCCUAUUGCUCUCAAAAUGCAUUUUGAAACUUAAGGUCCAUAAAGUAAUACGAGUUUUUCUCCUUUUGCAAAUUUUUGGAGGGAGCACACUUAACACAGUAUUUCUAAGCAGAACAAGUCCAAUAUUCCAACUUGGUGAUUAUAUAACCGGAUGAUAUUUUCUCUGGAAUUUUUUUUUCUCUGUUUUCAUUUGGUUCUGUAAAAUUCAGUUGGUUUUCCUGAGGGCUGGGACUGGGAUUGUUUUACAUUAGCAAAUUCCUCAUUCUUUACCUUUUCAAUGCGCCUGAAUAUUCCCACUAUGUCCUUCAAAACGAAAGUGAAAAACAAAAGACCAGUCAUUGCAAGUGAAGGGACUCAAUUUAUAGUUAACUAGCAAUAGUCUUUGAUUUUGUCUGUCACAAGAAAAUUUAAAGUUUCACCAGAAAAUUUAAAGUUUCUUGCAAAUAAAUGAUUUUUCAAGGAUCACAGACCAUGUAAGAAUAAUGAGAUUAAAAGGUUCAAUAAUCGAUUUAGGCACUAAACUAUUUGCAUCUGGCAUAAAAAUUAAAAAAAAAAAAAAAUAUAUCAAUACAUAUACAGCGCUCAAAACCCAUCAGAGGCAUAAUACUGGACAGGAGUUUGUGCCCACCUGGCCUUCAAAAUAUAUGGGAACCUGCAGAUCGGGAAACCAUAAAUCUUAUGCACAGGAAUCACAGAUCAACAAUCCUGUAGAAAUUUUGUCCAUACUACUACUGGCUGACAUUACACAUACAGCAUUAACAUAGAAUUGCUUCGCUGAGGUAAGAAAAUAACAGUAUCAAGUUGGCGACUAUUAAUUAUCCCCUACCCCUAAAAAAUAAUGAUAAGAACAUUAAAUAAAUAAUCCAUUGCUUGGUCAAAUAAAUAUAUGCCACAGGUUGAAAGACGACCAAACUCUUAAACUGGUGACAUACGCAAAGUACAAUUCUGUAAGCAUUCUAUCCAGAGCCAAAUCAACACAUAAAAUUAGAAAGAAAUGGCAAAAGUAAAAUGACUAUAAGAGUCGGUCAGUCCAGAGUUUAUGUCUAUUAUCCAUAAUGCCAAUAUCACAACAAACAACUUUCGAAAGAGUUAUCGAGCACAAAGAUGAAUUUUUUACACAGGUUGAACAUCAUAUCCAAAAAGCAAUGUACUAUUAAGAAGAAAAACAAGGCUGCUGACCAAGUGAAUCAUAUCCUUCAAUUGAACUCAUUGGCAACAACAUAAAAACUAAAAGAGAAGAAAGAAUCACUAACCAGUUU
rnacentral:misc_RNA from 1 species